CGUCUGGCGACUGCUGCCUCCCCAGUCACUUGGCUGGAGACGCUGAGCAGCGAAGAUGCUGUGCUGCUCUCCCAGGUCUGGAGGCCGCAGCCUCAGGACCCUGCUCAGGGAAAGCACUUGGAAACUUGUGCGAAGAUGGAUGGCUGGGCCCCGGUGCUCCAGGGCACUGGGCAGGAACCGCCCAACUGUCUUGGGCAGCACAGGGAAGGUCUCACCAGACCCAGUGACCACGGGCACUGAGACGAGAGGGAGCCCAGAGCAGGUCUCCCUGGGCCUGGACACCAGUCUCUUGGAGCCACUGAGUCCGGGACAGGUCCUUGUAGGCCUGACCACCUUGCGCCUGUGACGGAGCUGCUGGUGUUGGGAGCACAAGAUGAUCUGAGGCAGAAACAGCAGAAACUGGUCAGAGAGAGCCUCAAGCUUCGUGCCAGCUGCUGGGCACUGUCCCAACACAGUGGCACCCAGGACAUCAGCCUGGAGCUGGUCACAGCGGCCUGUGUGCCAUGUGCCUGUGACACACACUGGGGCCCCACAACAAUGACAGGUGUCCCUUCUGAAUUUAGCUUUUGAUAUGAGGAUCACUUAUCUGCCGGGGCCAUCUGUGUCCCUUCUGGUGAGAAAAACUAUGGCGAUUUGGAGUGUGGUCUGGGCUUCAGCCUCAAACCCUCCUGAUUAGUCGCGGGUUGGACACUAACUCUGUGUCUCCCCACUGCCCCAUCACAGAUUGGAGAUCAGGUGGCCGAGAGCCCAGCAGAGGUGUGCACAGGGAGGACGGUGCAGGCAGGCAGGCCGCACACCCUGACAGAGCCCUCGGAGCUGGACAGCUGCCCCAUCUAUGGGCCCCGCUUCCUGGACCCUUUGCGGACAAACCCUUCCUCUCCACAGGAGGGCAUGGCAGGAAGGUCCACGUCUUCUGCCCUUGACUCCUCACUGGAGCUGCACUCUCAGGAGGACCCCCCAUCUGACUCUCUGGGACACGCAGAGCACACUGAGCCCACUGAGGCAGAGCCCAAGGGUGAGGAGGACUGGGCCUUUGGGCAUGUGGGCAGGGAAUGGGGUUUUAGACACCAGCUUCCAGGUACUGGGCGACCCUGAGCACUGGGAUACUCACCAGUUUGUGGAGGGUGCAGUCUGGGAGGACUUCCUCGGGUGGCUUUGUGAGCAGGGCUGUCUCUGACCACCGUGGGAAGGUUUUGCCCCAGGAAGGAACAUGGGUAGUUGGUGAUCAUUUCUUCUCUUGCAGCUGCAGCGCCAGCUCCAGCCCAAGCUGAAGUCCUGCCUGCAGAGGCCAUGCCAGCUCCACCUGCAGCUCCCUUGCGAGCUCUGGCCCCACAGCAAGAGCCAGCCCCAGGAAGCCCUUGUGCACCAGCAGCAGGGCUGGGGCUGUAGGGGGCUCCACAGCAGGGCUCAGCUCCUGAACGCCCCCUGGGGCCAGCGUCUGCACCACCCCUGCGGGUCCCGUCCAUUACUGUGAGGCACGUUCUGGCAUAUGCUUUUGCUCUUGUUUUCUGGACUUAUGUGAACAAUAGAGCAAUUUUUAAAUAAAAG
ensembl:lincRNA